rnacentral:rRNA from 1 species
UACGUAGGGUGCGAGCGUUAAUCGGAAUUACUGGGCGUAAAGCGUGCGCAGGCGGUUGUGCAAGACAGAUGUGAAAUCCCCGGGCUCAACCUGGGAACUGCAUUUGUGACUGCAUCGCUGGAGUGCGGCAGAGGGGGAUGGAAUUCCGCGUGUAGCAGUGAAAUGCGUAGAUAUGCGGAGGAACACCGAUGGCGAAGGCAAUCCCCUGGGCCUGCACUGACGCUCAUGCACGAAAGCGUGGGGAGCAAACAGG